CCUUCAGAGCAGGUGGUGACUGCUCCUUGGGGAGCAAGGAGGAGGCCCAGGCCGCGCGGCCAUGCUCUGGCGCGCAUCACCCGAAGGUCAAGAACUGGAACACUGCCAGCACCCCAGAAGUCCCCCGGUGACCUUCCUGAACACAACUCUUUCCCUCCCUUUUAGAGUUCUUUGUUUAGAGGCAGUGAUAUUAUAAGACUAGAGGAAGACCCAGAGAAAUUAAAUGACUUACCCAGGGUCAGAAGAGCAAGUAAAAGGAAGCCUGGACUUGGCCCCAAGUCUUCAAAAUAGAGUAUGCUCGCUAUUAUAUUACACUGGCCCUCAGGCUCCUGGGGAAGUAAGGUAAAUUAAUUCUCCUGGUCUGUAGAGUAUUUUUCACUUCCACAUGGCCAAACCUCUUAUUCUACCAUUGGAUAAGGUUACUUUAUUUUAAGCCUAACAGCUUUAGGAUCAGAUUAAGAUUGGUCUAAAUAAAAAUAAAAGAGUAAAAUUUUUAGAGAUUAAUAUAAAUAAUCGUGCUAAAAAGGGGUUACAUGGAAACCUGCUUUUUAAAAAGAAGGUUUCUCCACUCUUGCCUUCAUCCCUUAUAGCCAGUCUGUCACUAGGCCCCAUC